rnacentral:lncRNA from 1 species
UUAGAUAUUGCUAAACUGAAAAAACAAGUUUUUGAGGCAUCUCAGGCUCAUCUCACCCUAUUGCCUGGAGCUGAUAUUCUUGCUGGAGCCUCUGAUGGCCUUUCUAAUACCAAUCCUUUAAAGUGGAUUGAAACCAUAGGUGGAUCAACAAUUGCAAAUUUUAUUUUGGUUUGUGUCUGUUUAUGUUGCUUGUUUUUAGUCUACAGAUGCAGAUGGUGCCUUGGGAGAGAAACCAGACACCAUGAAUGAGCCAUAAUAGCAAUGGCAGUUAUUAAUAAAAAAAAAUCAAUAGAGGCAAAAAAGGGGAACAUGUGGGAAAGUGUUUCUGGGGUGCCAGUUGAGUUGGUCUCCCCUGUGUGAGACACCCAUGGGAAGCCAUGGGCAGCCUCUGGGGAGAAAAGUCUCCUUAUUGCUUUCAUGUCUUUAUGCCCCAAGAGCAUAACCACUCAGCAGCAUUCCACAGGUUGCUCAGGGAGACAACACUCCCUUGAAGCAGUGGAGUAUAAUCAAACAUCUUGGCUCCUCCUUAAACCCGCUCCCACCCAUUUCAGUCCUGAUAAGCUAAAGAUCUUAAGUAGUUUAGACACACGCCUUUGCUCAAGGAAAUUCACAGAAACCGCCACUGCUACACAUCUUAUGGAAUGACUCACGAGUUCUCCUUCACUGAUUAAUCCUUUUCCUCAUCCCUUCCUCCCCCUCCCAUCUGCCCUAAGAACAAAGAGCUUGUAAACCAGUAAAUUUGGCAGAGCUCAAGAGCUCUGGGCCGUGAGCAAGCCUCCGAUAUUCUGGUCCCCUGAACCCGCCUUUUAAAUGCUUAUUCUGUCUCUUUCUAACUCCUAUGUCUCCACCAGACUCAGGGUACCCACUGGGUGGUGUGGGGCUGGUUUCCCUAACAUUCCCCACCAAAUAAAGCAGCUCCAACCUUCUAGAUGGUUGCUCAGCUCAGAAGUCUUAGAGAAAUUCUGAUGCCUCUCCUCACAUUUGCUCUGUCGGCAAAUCCUGGUGUCACAAGAGGGCUCAGGAGGGUUUCUGGAUGCCAACGAGACCCCAGCCACAGCCGGUCCCCAGAUUCUUGACAUCAUCACAAGAAAGAAUUCACAGGGUUGCUUCAGCGUCCUCACAACAGGAUGGCUGACUUCCCCAAGAGAGCAGCUCAAGAGAGAGCAAGGAGAAAGACACAACAUCUUUAAUGAUCUAUGCUUGGAAGCUAUAUGUUGCCACUUUUGCAAUAUCCUACAGAUCGCUUAGCUCCAUCCAACAUGGAAAGGGAUCAGACACGGGCAUCAUUGCCAGAUGAUAAUCCCUGAUGGUCAUCUUGGAUGCUGGCCACCACAGUUACAUUUGAGAUGGUGCACAAGAAGGCUCUCGCCAGAUGCUGGUCUUGUGAUCUUGGACUUCCCAGCCUCCAGAACUGUCAGCGUUGCUUCCACUGCACCUCUGAAAGUACUCAGCUCUGCCCCAAACCUGGAGAGUGCCGCAUUUCUCCAGACUGCAAGAAACAGUGUGGAUGACUCAGUGGAGAUCAUAAUGGCAUCUGAGUGAUCAACGACAGCCUCCAGUUGCCACUUGGUGAGAGAACAAAGGAACCGGGGCAUGCUCAGCUAUGGCUGCAAGCCCUUCAAGUGAAGCUGGGCACUUACCCCCUUCAUUCCAUUCUCCUCAGGAUAACAGAUUAAAAUUCCAGAAGUGUGCACCUGUUGUGUAUUCAGGAGAUUGUCGUUGUGCAUAAAGAGACCACUUGAGGCCCUGUAAGCAAAGACUAAUGGGGCUGAGUCAAAAUCUGGGAAUCUGAUGAACUAACACACUCAAAUGAAACUGAUUUGUGGGCAAGUACGAAUAGAAUAAAUGCCCUGGCGUUGUGACGACAUUGCAGUUAGUGCUUUCUUAUCCUUCAAGGUCUGCUGCCAAAACAAAGCUUUUCCAGAGGGUAUUUUUAUGAGACUGCAAGUUCUCGAAUGCAGGUGAAAGAGGGAGACAUCCUUACGUUGUCUUAGCACAGGUUUUGACCACUAAAAACAAGACUCAUGAUAAUAAUGGAUUUAGCGAGAUAAGAGUUUGUUUCUCUCUCACGUGAGUUUUCCAGCCAGUGUGGCAACUCAUUCCGUGAAGUCAUCAGGCGUGCAGGCUUCUCUCACCUUGGUGCUCUGCCAUCCCCAAGAUGCUGCCCCCAUCUGCAAGCACCAAGACGGCACCCCACUGUGUCCACAUUCUAGGCAUCAGGAUUGGGGAAAAGAGGAAGGGAGAGUAUGCCUCUCUUAAGGGCACAGUACAGAAGUUGCUCACAUCUCAUUGGUCAAAACUUAGUCACCUGGCCACACAAACUCAUAUCUGGGCUUUAUUCUAGGCAGCCCUGUGCCCAGCUAAAAAUUGAGGCCCUGGCUCCUGUUGAAUAGGGUUUCUCAACUUGAGCACUACUGGUAUUUUGGGUCAGAUAAUUAUUUAUUGCAGGGGGCUGUCCAGUUCAUUGCAGCAUAUUCAGGAGCAUCUCUGACUUUCACCUACAAGAUGCCAGCAGCAUCCCUCCAUCAAGUUGUGACAACCAAAUAUCUCCAGACUUUGUCAAAUGUCCCCUUGGAGACAAAAUUGUCUCUGAUGGAGAGCCACUCUUAUUUAAGAAGGGGAGAGUAGAGACUAGGGGACAGUUGGCCAUCCCUGCCAGAUAUAAGUUGAUAUUUUUUAUUUCUUUCCUCCUCAUGUACAGAACAGGGCGGCCAUUAGGACCACCACUUUAGAAGUAUUACUGAACAAUCAAUGCACUCACGGCUGGAUGCUCAUGAAGCCAAUACCAUGGCAAUGGCUUUGGGGAAAAGAAAAGCUUCCUUUGGGGAUUUACAAUAGCAAAAACAUGGAAUCAACCUAAAU